ensembl:snRNA U6 U6 spliceosomal RNA
GUGCUCGCUUUGGCAGCACAUAUACUAAAAUUGGAAUGAUACAGAGAAGAUUAGCAUGGCCCCUGCACAAGGAUGACAAGAAAAUUCAUGAAGCGUUCCAUUAAAAA